AUGAGUAUCCUAAUGUGGAACUGCCAGGGGGACCGCCGGACAGUUCGUGAGGUGUUGGCCCUCUCAAAAGCCAAUUCCCCGGGGCUGAUUUUCCUAUCAGAAACACGUCAAGCCUCUAGUCAGAUGGAAAAGCUUAAAAGGAGACUGGAUAUGAAGGGUUUUGCUGGUGUAUCUAGUGUUGGCCUCAGUUGGGGGCUUGCACUAUUUUGGGAUGAGAACUUACAAGUA
rnacentral:rRNA from 1 species